UAAGGACAGACGGGCAUGUGUUG
rnacentral:misc_RNA from 1 species